GCGCUUGCCAGGCAGGCGCUGUGCCGCUGAGCGAAAUCCCCGGCCCCUGCAUAGUGAUUCUUAAAGUGACCUGCUCUGAAGCUCCUUCCACAAAAGGCGAAGUAUACAGGGAAACUUCCUGAUGGGAUACCAAAUAGUUACGGCUUACAGCGGCGUAUGUCCUGGGUUUAAUAACUCAACUCGACUCAACUCCACUAUUUUAAACAAAACGUGAUACAGUUUUGGCUUACUACUCUUUCCCAC